UACUGAGGGUUGCAUACAUGUCUUCCCUCACCUCCCAUCUCGUGGUUAAGGGAAAAUCGCCGACUAUAGACAAUCUAGAGCAGUUGGUGGAGCUGCGGAAAACUCAAGGAUGGGAAUGGGGCACUGUGAUCGCAGACGGGGCUUUCCGUAGUUUUUUAAGCACAAGUUCGAAUCCAAGUUACCCCAUCGUUGAAAAGCACAUGGAGACAUUACCGACUGAAGAGGGAAUUCAGAGAGUGUUAAGAGGAGGUUAUUCGUAUGUGCGCAACUAUUUCUACACAAAAAUAAUAACAAAGACCUACCUCAUAGGAGAAACAGACUAUGUUCCUUUCCACAUCGGUGCCACGAAGUAUCCCCUUUACCUCGGAAACUCUUGGGCAUUCAGAAAAGGCACUCCCUUUCUGUCCCGCUUCUCCAAGACUAUCCAGAGGUUCCUGGAUGCUGGGCUGGUGACGCAAUGGAUGGACAAUGUCAUCAAGACACAUGUUUGGCUGAAGCAACAAGAGAGAAAGGCGUCUAAUAAUAAUGCCGUGUUGCCGUUAGCCAUAGUUCCGAGUAAGGAAGGACAAGAAGUGCUGGGACUGCUACACUUGCAAGGCACGUUCUAUAUACUCGCCCUGGGCUCGACAGUAGCAUCCCUCGCCUUCCUUGCCGAGCACCUGCUGCAUCACUGCUAAUUAAAGGACUCUUGAAGUAUAACGAUAUUUAUUCAUCUUUUCAUUUUACAUUGGCAUAUUUGUUAACCAAAAUUCAUAUCGCUUCAAUGUAUCAAGCCCUUGCUUUCCCAGAUUAAUAGUAACAGUUUUGCAUGCUCAACAUCAUGACUUGUCUGGUGACCACAAGCAAGAAUUUACAAAUAUAAUACAACUGCUGAAAUCAUGCAAUGUAAGUAACAAGUUACAAUGCACAAGAUUAUUUUACAAUGCAAAGAUUAUUUUAUUUAUCCUCAUAUAAUGUGCAUGAAGAAAAGAAAAAUAUACAAAAAGAAAAACAAAAGUAUGCUAGGAAAUUAAUCCCAGAGAAGGAAAAUAAGUUCGAAUGUGCCUUCCAUCUCAAAAAAAAAAAAAAUCGUUUCCGUUAUAUCUAUAUCUGGAAUCAUAACAUUUUUGUAUUAAAAUUGUCAAAUAUUUAUAUAAAAAUAAAAUCACUCAAAAUCACUCUGCAUUUAGCCCAAAAAAAUAUAUCUAAUACUGAAUGAUUCUCGAUAUGUUCCUACUGUCCUUUUUAUCAUUGUCCUUAUUCCCAGUGAUUAUUUGCGUGUUUCUUUGUAAACGUGUCUUCUAUGAUCCGCCGUGAUUCCUGGAAGGCUUAUCGUUUUGUUUAGUGAGCGUCUCCUCUGUCGUUCUCCUAAACUAUAUUUCUGCCUCGUGCACUUCCUGGUCGAACGUUUCCGACUUUAUUAGCAUCUAGCUUGCCUUCUUGAAGGACGUUUGACUAUACUGAAUAUGUUCCCUAAGACGGGUGACUGCUGUAAUCCUUUAAGUUCUUGAUACAUUGUUUUGAUUUCGUGUCUUUAUUUUUUCCCCAUACACUGUAUCUGAUAGUCAGUAUGGAAUGUGUAAAAGACGAUCCCCUGGUCAUCUAUUUACGAUUUAUUUUCUGGUAAAUCUUGUUAUCUCAGUU